rnacentral:rRNA from 1 species
AGCAGUAGCCGCGGUAAUACGUAGGUCCCGAGCGUUGUCCGGAUUUAUUGGGCGUAAAGCGAGCGCAGGCAGUUUGAUAAGUCUGAAGUUAAAGGCUGUGGCUCAGCCAUAGUUCGCUUUGGAAACUGUCAAACUUGAGUGCAGAAGGGGAGAGUGGAAUUCCAUGUGUAGCGGUGAAAUGCGUAGAUAUAUGGAGGAACACCGGUGGCGAAAGCGGCUCUCUGGUCUGUAACUGACGCUGAGGCUCGAAAGCGUGGGGAGCGAACAGGAUUAGAUACCCCUGUAGUCCCUGUCUCUUAUACA